GACGAAGGUGGCGAGCGUUGUUCGGAAUCACUGGGCAUAAAGCGCACGUAGGCGGUGCCGUAAGUCGGAUGUGAAAUCCCUCGGCCUAACCGAGGAACUGCGUCCGAUACUGCGGUGCUUGAGGUUCAGAGGGGUGCAUGGAAUUUCCGGUGGAGCGGUGAAAUGCGUUGAUAUCGGAAGGAACUCCGGCGGCGAAAGCGAUGCACUGGCUGAUUUCUGACGCUGAGGUGCGAAAGCCAGGGGAGCAAACGGG
rnacentral:rRNA from 1 species